CCUCCUUUCUGCCGCCGUGGGGAAUAUUGGUCAAUGGGGGAAACCCUGAUCCAGCGACGCCGCGUGAGUGAAGAAGUAUCUCGGUACGUAAAGCCCUAUUAGUAGGGAAGAAAAGGACGGUACCUGACUCAGAAGCCCCGGCUAACUACGGGCCAGCAGCCGCGGUAACACGGAGGGGGCAGGCGUUAUCCGGAUUAACUGGGUGUAAAGCGGGCGUAGGCGGCAUCGCAAGUCUGGAGUGAAAUGCCGGGGCCCAACCCCGGAACUGCUGUGGAAACUGUGAAGCUGGAGUGCAGGAGAGGUAAGCGGAAUGCGUGGUGUAGCGGUGAAAUGCAUAGAUAUCAGGAAGAACUCCGACGGCGAAGGCAGCUUACUGGCCUGUAACUGACGUUGAAGCACGAAGGCGUGGGGAGCGAACAGGAUUAGAUACCCUGGUAGUC
rnacentral:rRNA from 1 species